UGUUGCUUAGGCUUUUAUAUAGAUAGAUUGGAAUGAUACAGAGAAGAUUAGACUGGCCCUUGCAAAAGGAUGACACCCAAAUGUGUGAAGUGUUCCAUUUUUUU